rnacentral:rRNA from 1 species
GACGAACGCUGGCGGCGUGCUUAACACAUGCAAGUCGAACGGAAAGGCCCUGCUUUUGUGGGGUGCUCGAGUGGCGAACGGGUGAGUAACACGUGAGUAACCUGCCCUUGACUUUGGGAUAACUUCAGGAAACUGGGGCUAAUACCGGAUAGGAGCUCCUGCUGCAUGGUGGGGGUUGGAAAGUUUCGGCGGUUGGGGAUGGACUCGCGGCUUAUCAGCUUGUUGGUGGGGUAGUGGCUUACCAAGGCUUUGACGGGUAGCCGGCCUGAGAGGGUGACCGGCCACAUUGGGACUGAGAUGCGGCCCAGACUCCUACGGGAGGCAGCAGUGGGGAAUAUUGCACAAUGGGCGGAAGCCUGAUGCAGCAACGCCGCGUGCGGGAUGACGGCCUUCGGGCUGUAAACCGCUUUCGCCUGUGACGAAGCGUGAGUGACGGUAAUGGGUAAAGAAGCACCGGCUAACUACGUG